rnacentral:rRNA from 1 species
UACAGCAGCCAUAUCACCCUGCAACUCACAAUUGGCAGCCCACUGAAGCUCAGCAGGAGUGAGCCUGGCCUGUACUUGGAUGGGAGACCUCCUGGGAAAAACUAAGGUUGCUGCUGGAC